GUUACAGUUUUGUCAUGUUGUUAAAGUUUCAGCCCCUACAGAGAUGCCCAGGUGUUCAUGUAGGAGCUCUGAGCUGCAGUAGACUAUGCCGAUCGGGUGGCCACACUAAGUUCGGUAUCGAUAUGGUGUUCCUGGGGAAACCCGGGACCACUAGGUCGCCCAAGGAGGGGUGCACCGGCCCAGGUCGGAAACAGAGCAGGUCAAAGCCCCCGUGCCGCUCAGUAGUGGGAUCGCACCUGUGAAUAGACGCUGUAGUGCAGCCUGAGUAAUACAGCAAAACCCAGUU
rnacentral:SRP_RNA from 1 species